AACGUAGGUGGCAAGCGUUAUCCGGAUUUACUGGGCGUAAAGGGUGCGUAGGCGGGUCUUUAAGUCAGGGGUGAAAUCCUGGAGCUCAACUCCAGAACUGCCUUUGAUACUGAGGAUCUUGAGUUCGGGAGAGGUGAGUGGAACUGCGAGUGUAGAGGUGAAAUUCGUAGAUAUUCGCAAGAACACCAGUGGCGAAGGCGGCUCACUGGCCCGAUACUGACGCUGAGGCACGAAAGCGUGGGGAGCAAACAGG
rnacentral:rRNA from 1 species